rnacentral:rRNA from 1 species
GAUGAACGCUGGCGGCGUGCCUAAUACAUGCAAGUCGAGCGAACGGACGAGAAGCUUGCUUCUCUGAUGUUAGCGGCGGACGGGUGAGUAACACGUGGAUAACCUACCUAUAAGACUGGGAUAACUUCGGGAAACCGUAGCUAAUACCGGAUAAUAUUUUGAACCGCAUGGUUCAAAAGUGAAAGACGGUCUUGCUGUCACUUAUAGAUGGAUCCGCGCUGCAUUAGCUAGUUGGUAAGGUAACGGCUUACCAAGGCAACGAUGCAUAGCCGACCUGAGAGGGUGAUCGGCCACACUGGAACUGAGACACGGUCCAGACUCCUACGGGAGGCAGCAGUAGGGAAUCUUCCGCAAAGGGCGAAAGCCUGACGGAGCAACGCCGCGUGAGUGAUGAAGGUCUUCGGAUCGUAAAACUCUGUUAUUAGGGAAGAACAUAUGUGUAAGUAACUGUGCACAUCUUGACGGUACUUAAUCAGAAAGCCACGGCUAACUACGUG